CCUCACGCUAUUAGAUGAGCCUAGGUCGGAUUAGCUAGUUGGUGAGCCAUUACCUCACCAA
rnacentral:rRNA from 1 species